rnacentral:rRNA from 1 species
GAUGAACGCUGGCGGCGUGCCUAAUACAUGCAAGUCGAGCGAACAGACGAGGAGCUUGCUCCUCUGACGUUAGCGGCGGACGGGUGAGUAACACGUGGAUAACCUACCUAUAAGACUGGGAUAACUUCGGGAAACCGGAGCUAAUACCGGAUAAUAUAUUGAACCGCAUGGUUCAAUAGUGAAAGACGGUUUUGCUGUCACUUAUAGAUGGAUCCGCGCCGCAUUAGCUAGUUGGUAAGGUAACGGCUUACCAAGGCAACGAUGCGUAGCCGACCUGAGAGGGGGAUCGGCCACACUGGAACGGAGCCACGGUCCAGACUCCUACGGGAGGCAGCAGUAGGGAAUCUUCCGCAAUGGGCGAAAGCCUGACGGAGCAACGCCGCGUGAGUGAUGAAGGUCUUCGGAUCGUAAAACUCUGUUAUUAGGGAAGAACAAAUGUGUAAGUAACUAUGCACGUCUUGACGGUACCUAAUCAGAAAGCCACGGCUAACUACGUG